GUGGAAGUCUCCGGCAACUCGUCGAGUCCCGUUUGCUGCCCCCGAAAAGGUAAACUUCACUUUGAUCUUGACUCAUUUUGGUUGGUGUUUGUUUGUGAGCUGAAGAUCUUUGUUGACCCUCCUACUGUUCAUUUGAAUGCUUCAGUUCUCUUUGGGUUUACUGCUAAUGUCUGAUAAAAGAAUUUUGUGUUACGAGUUGGUGUUUUAGUUAACUGAAGCGUGGAAUGUGUCUUUGUGUGUGAUUUAUGCCUAGAAUGCCUUGAUUAAGAGUUUUGGCUUUCCCCUUUGAUUUUAGUAUCCCAGUUAGUUUCCUUGUUGCUCCUUGUUUCUCGUUCAGUUGGUAUUCGUUAAUAUGGUUAGAAUAAUGCCUUUGGUUGUUUGUUCGAUCUUGUUGUCUAUUCUCUCUGUGCUACAAGUUUAAUAGUUAGCAGUUUUGAGUGUUCUUUAUGAAACUUGGGGGAGGUUUUAACUUGUUUAAGUUUAUUUCUUAUCUUUGAGCAUCUUUAACGUUUUCGAAUUAGAUUAAUCGGUUUGCUCUUAACUCUUUGUGUUGCUUUGAUGUGUCUCUUUUUCUAUUCUUCAUCUCCUCGGAGUUUUCGAAAGUAUAGCGUGUUACUGCCUAGCAUACCCUAUUUUUCUCAAGUUUAUGUCUCAAAUUUGUUUAAGUUAUAGUCGAAAAAUACCUACCAUUGGCAGUUUUAAGUAUGAGCUUCAUGGCAUGUCUUCUUUACCAUUGUCCUGUUUAGUUUAUUUUCAUGAGGAUUGUGUUAGUUUCCUUAUCAUUGUCUUGUCUUAUUUAACUCCAAAUGUGUGUUGAAAAUGAUACUAGGUAGUUUCAUAUGUUCGGAAAUCCAAAUGAUACUGGCCUCUGUGUGUAUUUGAAGCAAUUUUAUUCCCUCUUAAGGAAGCCUGCUGACAACUGCUUUUUCUCUAUUUUCUUAGUUAGAUUACUGCAUAAUUGUGGAUGUCAUAUUUACUUGCUUAAUUACCUAAUAUGAGUCUUAGUAUUAGCCUUUCUUUGUCAAAUCUUGAUGAAUGUGCAUAUUGGGUGCAUAUUGGUUUUCUUUUGUGUUUCUCUUAGAAUUAUUGUAGCCUGAUCAUACCUAUCCUUGUUCAUUUUGAUGCUACUGCGUAAUGUUCAUGGUAUGGUUGUAGUAUACAAGCUGUUGUGUUGAUCGCUUUGACUGUAAUGGCAGCCUAGAUGCAUAUUCACUUUAUUUAUUCUUGUUAACAUUUGCAUAAUUUGGUUGGUGUUUUUUUUUUAGGUCUCUAGUUUGAUUUUCAGCAUGUCUAGAUCUGAUUUCUGUUAAUUUGGACAUUAUCCUAGUAUAUAUGUCUCAUUGCUUUCUCCUUAUAUAAUUAGUGUAUCUUCUUUUGUUUCAUAUUAGUUAAAUUAUAUAUUAACCGUCUCCCUUCACUUUGUUUGCAUGUGAAAUCUUCCCAAGUCUUCGCGGACUCUCUCUUUGCAUUCCCAAGGGGGCCACGAAGCCCCCAAAAUUCUUUUAUUGAGUCAGCCAGUCCUCGAAAGUGAAGAACAAAUUCCAUAGAUUCGACGUACAAGAGUGGAGCCGAUGUACAGGAUUGUAUACAUCUAGUGUAUACGAAAAGUGGGAAAAUUGGGCCCAAAAGCCCAAAGUAAAGCAGCCAACAACUUUUGGAUUAAAAUGGGCCAAAACCCAUAAUUUUGGUUUUCUUUAGACUCUAGGACAGGUGGGCCAAAAGGCCAUUUUAAUUGGAUUUGGACCAAAAACCCAAAUCUAAUUAUUUCUUUUCCCUCUAUUAGGUUAUUGAUUAACUAACUUUAUUUGUUUCUUAUGGUUUAAUUUAAUUAAGUUUCCCAAAAUAGUCUUUCUUAUUUUUUGAAACACCUAUUAUUUUAUUUAUAUAUUUAGUUACAU
rnacentral:lncRNA from 1 species